rnacentral:rRNA from 1 species
UACGUAGGGGGCAAGCGUUGUCCGGAUUUAUUGGGCGUAAAGAGCGUGUAGGCGGCCAUACAGGUCCGUUGUGAAAACUCGAGGCUCAACCUCGAGACGUCGAUGGAAACCGUAUGGCUAGAGUCCGGAAGAGGAGAGUGGAAUUCCUGGUGUAGCGGUGAAAUGCGCAGAUAUCAGGAGGAACGCCGGUGGCGAAGGCGGGUCUCUGGGCCGCAACUGACGCUGAGGAGCGAAAGCAUGGGGAGCGAACAGG